rnacentral:lncRNA from 1 species
GUUACUCUGCUUAAGUUUCUUCAAAUUUUGGUAAAGGAGACGGAGGGGAGGGAUUAAGUAAAUAUGUCCUCUUAGGAAACGGCACCGUUUAAGGUAAUUUUAAGUCUCGUUUGCGGCGUUUUUAAAACAAACGCCUCUAUUGUAUUCACAUUUGCGGCGUUUUAGACAAAAACGCCACUAAUAUUUUAAAGCACGUAAAGAAACAGC